rnacentral:rRNA from 1 species
UAUUGCCCAAUAAGCGAAAGCCUGGGACAGAGACCCCGCGGGAGGAAAGCAGUCCUUCGGGUUGUAAACCUGUUUCAUCAAAUACAAAGGGAAAGUGACGGUACCUUCACAAUAAGCACCGGCUAACUACGUGCCAGCAGCCGCGGUAAUACGUAGGGUGCAAGCGUUGUCCGGAUUUAUUGGGCGUAAAGAGCUCGCAGGCGGUUAGUCAAGUCAGAUGUGAAAUCCCGAGGCUUAACCUCGGACCUGCAUUCGAUACGGGAUGACUAGAGUGUUGUAGAGGAGAAUGGAAUUCCUGGUGUAGCGGUGAAAUGCGCAGAUAUCAGAAGAACCCCGGGGGAAGGCGUUCUCUGGGCAUUACUACGUGAGAGCGAAG